rnacentral:rRNA from 1 species
UACAGAGGUCUCAAGCGUUGUUCGGAUUCAUUGGGCGUAAAGGGUGCGUAGGCGGCGCGGUAAGUCGGGUGUGAAAGUCUUGGAGCUUAACUCCGAAACUGCAUUCGAUACUGCCGUGCUUGAGGACUGGAGAGGAGACUGGAAUUUACGGUGUAGCGGUGAAAUGCGUAGAUAUCGUAAGGAAGACCAGUGGCGAAGGCGGGUCUCUGGACAGUUCCUGACGCUGAGGCACGAAGGUCAGGGGAGCAAACGGG